rnacentral:rRNA from 1 species
UACGUAGGGUGCGAGCGUUAAUCGGAAUUACUGGGCGUAAAGCGUGCGCAGGCGGUUCGCUAAGUUCGUUGUGAAAGCCCCGGGCUUAACCUGGGAAUGGCAAUGGAAACUGGCGGGCUGGAGUGUGGCAGAGGGGGGUGGAAUUCCACGUGUAGCAGUGAAAUGCGUAGAGAUGUGGAGGAACACCGAUGGCGAAGGCAGCCCCCUGGGCCAACACUGACGCUCAGGCACGAAAGCGUGGGGAGCAAACAGGAUUAGAUACCCUGGUAGUCCACGCCCUAAACGAUGUCAACUGGGUGUUGGGGAAGCGAUUCCUUGGUACCGUAGCUAACGCGUGAAGUUGACCGCCUGGGGAGUACGGCCGCAAGGUUAAAACUCAAAGGAAUUGACGGGGACCCGCACAAGCGGUGGAUGAUGUGGAUUAAUUGGAUUCAACGCCGGA